AUGAACGCUGGCGGCGUGCCUAAUACAUGCCAGUCGAGCGAACGGACGAGAAGCUUGCUUCUCUGAUGUUAGCGGCGGACGGGUGAGUAACACGUGGAUAACCUACCUAUAAGACUGGGAUAACUUCGGGAAACCGGAGCUAAUACCGGAUGAUAUUUUGAACCGCAUGGUUCAAAAGUGAAAGACGGUCUUGCUGUCACUUAUAGAUGGAUCCGCGCUGCACUAGCUAGUUGGUAAGGUAACGGCUUACCAAGGCAACGAUGCAUAGCCGACCUGAGAGGGUGAUCGGCCACACUGGAACUGAGACACGGUCCAGACUCCUACGGGAGGCAGCAGUAGGGAAUCUUCCGCAAUGGGCGAAAGCCUGACGGAGCAACGCCGCGUGAGUGAUGAAGGUCUUCGGAUCGUAAAACUCUGUUAUUAGGGAAGAACAUAUGUGUAAGUAACUGUGCACAUCUUGACGGUACCUAAUCAGAAAGCCACGGCUAACUACGUG
rnacentral:rRNA from 1 species